UUCACUUUUUUUCACGUGAAUUACUCCCAUGCCUUCUCUCUCUCUCUCUCUCCACUGAAGCUCCAUUGAAGAUGUGACGUCCUCCGCUGUUGCCGUCACUGCCGCCGCCGUGGCUCACGUCGCACGAGCUCCUUCCACCGCCGCUCUCAAUGCGUUUGCUCUUUUCGUCGUCACACGAGCUCUCUCAGCCGUGCUCUUGUCUUAUGAGCUCCCUCCGCCGCUGCUCUCGCGCUGCUUCUUCUCUCCUCGCCGGAGGUUUGUCAUCGUCUUCUCUCAUCGCUGUUAGUUCAGGUCCGCUGAAGGUUACACCAUCUAUGGUCGAGUGAAAAUCCCCAGCAAGCAAUCGACGAAGAUAAGGAAGAAGAUCGUACCACAGAUUAAGACAAUGUUGCUAUCACUAUCACUGUUAAAACCUACUCUUCUCUAAUUUUACUGGUAAGUCAAUGAAGACUAGUUAAUUUAAUUGUCAAUGCUCACUACUGUUCGUUAUUUCAUUACUCACCGUUAAAUUGAUUUAAUUUGCUAAUUGCAAUUGAAGUGAUGGUUGAUGGAGAAUAAUGAUAAUGAUAAUGCCACUAUGAACGAAUACGAUAGAGAGUAACAUUUACAGUGUGAUCUCUCAUGCGACAGUUAUUGGAAGAAGCAUGAGUUAUGGAAAGGACGACAUAGAAGCUCCUCGGAGCUCCGGUGACAUCGACGAUGGAGGCUCCUCCUCCAAUCCCUUUGAUAUUGUCAGAACAAAAGAUGCUUCCGUUCAACGACUCAAGCGUUGGAGGGUAUAUCUCUAUAUCCCUUUCUCCUCUUAAUAAUUUUUAUAUUUAUUCAUUUUCUUUUUUCUUUUUAAAAUUCAGUGUUUGAUAUAUUAUAUUCAUUUGAAAAUAGAGGUACCAGUUAAAAAACAAGAAGCUGAAAUAUUUUAGGAUUAUUUAAUUCUUAAGUGUUCUAGGAUUUGCAGAGCAAGUUUAUAGA